GUGGACUCUGCCUGCUCCGUGGGAAAGUUCGCAAUUGUGGCUCAGGGCACUUGAAUACAACACCCAUAGCCCAUUCCGUUAUCGUUUUUCCUACCAAUUUCACAUCUUCUACGAAAAAGACUAUCCAAAUCAAUCAUAUUACGUAAUCAAUUGAAGUUCUUCGGAAAGAAGAUGGAUUGAAACAGCGAUUGAAACAAUUCACAGGAGGAACGCGAAUCGAGAGGAAGAAAAUUGACUGUCCCGAGGCCGAAAGACAGAGGACAUGGCGAUGCGCGAGCUGGUUACUGGAGGCGCUGCUUGUGCCGUUCCUGGUUCUUCUUCUUCUUCUAACCCUCUCGGUGCCCUUGCCAACGCUCUAGUUGGUUCCUCUUCCAAGACCCAGGAAAGAUUGCGGGAAAUUCCUACAUCGCAGCUCACAGGUCCUGAGAGACCUUUUUACCCUGAGAGCCAUGGGCAGCUCCCUGGCUCUGAAUUGGAUCAUCCACCGUUUCAACCCAAUGAGCAGGCGUCAAAAUUUUUUAGUGGCUUCCACUCGGCUGCUGAUCAGAGUGGUCUGGCCUCUGCAUGGAAUGAGGUACAGGGCGGUCCCCCUCCUCCCCAUUUGAGAGAAAUGCAACCAAGUCUUGCUGAAUUUGAUCGUAUUUAUGAACAAAUGCCUGCUUCUCAGCAUCAACCAGUAUUUGAAGGGCCACCGCAAAGAGUGCUGUCAAACUUUUUGCACUCAUUUGUAGAGACCAGCCGUGGUGGAAUUCCUUUUCAUCCUACCCCUCUGCCUUUAUUGGGACUAUCUGAAGGUGAUAAGCAGUGUAUACGAGAUCGUAGUAGCAUAAUGGCUCGACAUUUUUUUGCAGAUAAAAGUGAAGACUUCAUAAAUGCGCAGGUGAAUGCACUUCUAUCUUCCUUAGAUAUUGACAGCAGUAAACAGGUUAAGGGGUUUCAACCUGGUAGGUUUCAUGAGUUGGAGGAUUAUUGGAACGAAUCUCAAGCUCUACAGAGACCUGGUGGUCAUAUUGCAGAUGGAUGGGCUUCUGAAUAUAGCCUAAACAGGGAAAAAUAUGCUAAUCAUGAGGGUUGGGCUCAAUCCUUUGAACAACAAUACGGUGCCAAUGGUUGGGCCUCCGAGUUUGAGCAGGAGAAGUUUCAGUUAGCAUCGGCCCAACAAAUGGCAGGUGGUAAUAUGAUGAACUUAUCUGCAAUGGAACAGACUCGCAAGCUUGCAAAUACAUUAGCUGAAAAUAACGACCCGAAGUUUCAGAACUCAAAGUUUCUUCAGUUUGUUUCAAAGAUGAGUAGGGGUGAACUCAUUAUUGAUGAUAAUCAAGUCAAGCCAAACUCUUUAUCUCCAUCAGAUAACUGGGCUUCCGAGUACCAGCAACAAUAUAGUGGAGGUCUUCCCUGGGCUGAUGAAUUUGUUUCCAACAAAACUAAUCAGUGGGCUGAUGAGUUUGCUGAAGGGAAGCAGCAUGCGUCAGAUGAUCAAUGGGUUGAUGAGUUUUCCAAGUUGCACAUGCAAGACUGGGUGGAAGAAUUUGGUCAGCAGGUCGGAGAAGGUGCUUCUGGAGAAGCUGAUAAUUGGGCGAAUGCUUAUGAUGAGUUUCUAAAUGAACAAGUAGCUGCCAAGGGAAAGACAGAUGCUUCAAACGGAAUAUAUGUCUUUUCUGACAUGAACCCGUAUGUUGGUCAUCCAAAUCCUUUAAAGGAAGGCCAGGAUCUGUUCCGUAAAGGCCUUCUGAGUGAGGCAGUGCUUGCUUUAGAGGCUGAGGUUAUGAAAAACCCUGAAAAUUCUGAAGGUUGGAGGCUUCUUGGAAUUGCACAUGCUGAAAAUGAUGAUGAUCAACAGGCCAUUGCAGCCAUGAAGCGAGCACUUGAUGUUGACCCUACAAAUUUAGAGGUGCUUCUUGCGCUUGGUGUGAGUCACACAAAUGAAUUAGAACAAGCAGCUGCAUUAAGAUACUUAUAUGGAUAUCUACAGCAUCACCCAAAGUACGGAGCACUUGCAAGGCCGGAGCUUUCGGAUUCAUUAUACUAUGCUGAUGUAGCUGGCUUAUUUAAUGAAGCUGCAAAAAUGUUUCCUGAUGAUGCUGAUGUGCACAUAGUACUUGGUGUCCUUUAUAAUUUGUCCAGAGAAUUUGAUAAAGCAAUUGCUUCCUUCCAGACAGCCUUGAAACUAAAGCCGCAAGAUUACUCUCUUUGGAACAAGCUAGGUGCUACACAAGCCAACAGCAUUCAAAGUGCUGAUGCUAUAUUAGCUUAUCAACAGGCACUUGAUUUAAAGCCUAAUUACGUCCGUGCAUGGGCCAAUAUGGGAAUCAGUUAUGCUAAUCAGGGGCUGUAUGAGGAAUCAAUCAAGUACUAUGUGAGGUCACUUAGUAUGAAUCCAAAGGCAGAUAAUGCAUGGCAAUAUUUAAGAAUUUCACUAAGCUGUGCAUCAAGGAAUGACAUGCUGGAUGCCUGUGAUUCCCGCAAUCUUGAUGCUCUGCAGAAGGAGUUCCCAUUAUGAUAUUAUUGCUUGAAGCGUUAGAUGCAUAAACUUUGGCUGAAGUAAAGACAACAUCUCAACGUCUCUGUUGUAUUGAAGAGGAUUUGAGGAAGAAGCUGGAAGAAACUUGCAGAAAUGGUCAAGUGAUUCUCUCCAUGCCUACUUCUACACUGUGGUAAAUCCCCAAACUUCCCAUUCUCUUUCAUAUUAUAUAUAUAUAUAUAUAUAUAUAUACACACUGAUGAAUGUGAAAGCUACACGUUGAAGAAGAAAAAAAGAAACCAUUUAGGGGAAAGCUCACUGAUUCUGUAUGUAUGCCUGUUCUCUCUCUCUCUCUCUCUCUGUCCUUGUAGCACAACAGAAACACACUGGUACACUUAAUAGAACAAUGAUUUAGGUAAGGAUAAUGCAGUGGCUGUGAUGGAUGGGUUGGUUGGUACGAUCCACCAUAAAAGUUAAUAAAUAAAUCACUCACCCAUCUC